AGUGAACGCUGGCGGUAGGCCUAACACAUGCAAGUCGAACGGCAGCACAGUAAGAGCUUGCUCUUACGGGUGGCGAGUGGCGGACGGGUGAGGAAUACAUCGGAAUCUACUUUUUCGUGGGGGAUAACGUAGGGAAACUUACGCUAAUACCGCAUACGACCUACGGGUGAAAGCAGGGGAUCUUCGGACCUUGCGCGAUUGAAUGAGCCGAUGUCGGAUUAGCUAGUUGGCGGGGUAAAGGCCCACCAAGGCGACGAUCCGUAGCUGGUCUGAGAGGAGGAUCAGCCACAUUGGAACUGGGACACGGUCCAGACUCCUACGGGAGGCAGCAGUGGGGAAUAUUGGACAAUGGGCGCAAGCCUGAUCCAGCCAUACCGCGUGGGUGAAGAAGGCCUUCGGGUUGUAAAGCCCUUUUGUUGGGAAAGAAAAGCAGCAGGUUAAUACCCCGCUGUUCUGACGGUACCCAAAGAAUAAGCACCGGCUAACUUCGUG
rnacentral:rRNA from 1 species